rfam:Myotis brandtii contig206772, whole genome shotgun sequence.
GGCGGUUCUUGGAUGACGCACCGUGGAAUUGGGCUCCCCCCUCUCUGGUUCUGGUGCGUCACCCGAGAACCACA